rnacentral:rRNA from 1 species
UACGAAGGGGGCUAGCGUUGCUCGGAAUCACUGGGCGUAAAGGGUGCGUAGGCGGGUUUUUAAGUCAGGGGUGAAAUCCUGGAGCUCAACUCCAGAACUGCCUUUGAUACUGAGGAUCUUGAGUUCGGGAGAGGUGAGUGGAACUGCGAGUGUAGAGGUGAAAUUCGUAGAUAUUCGCAAGAACACCAGUGGCGAAGGCGGCUCACUGGCCCGAUACUGACGCUGAGGCACGAAAGCGUGGGGAGCAAACGGG